UACGUAGGGGGCAAGCGUUGUCCGGAUUUAUUGGGCGUAAAGAGCGUGUAGGCGGUUUGGUAGGUCCGCUGUGAAAACUCGAGGCUCAACCUCGAGACGCCGGUGGAAACCAUCAGACUAGAGUCCGGAAGAGGAGAGUGGAAUUCCUGGUGUAGAGGUGAAAUUCGUAGAUAUUGGGAAGAACACCGGUGGCGAAGGCGGCUCUCUGGACCGUAACUGACGCUGAGGCGCGAAAGCGUGGGGAGCAAACAGG
rnacentral:rRNA from 1 species